rnacentral:rRNA from 1 species
AUGAACGCUGGCGGCGUGCCUAAUACAUGCAAGUCGCGCGAACGGACGAGAAGCUUGCUUCUCUGAUGUUAGCGGCGGACGGGUGAGUAACACGUGGAUAACCUACCUAUAAGACUGGGAUAACUUCGGGAAACCGUAGCUAAUACCGGAUAAUAUUUUGAACCGCAUGGUUCAAAAGUGAAAGACGGUCUUGCUGUCACUUAUAGAUGGAUCCGCGCUGCAUUAGCUAGUUGGUAAGGUAACGGCUUACCAAGGCAACGAUGCAUAGCCGACCUGAGAGGGUGAUCGGCCACACUGGAACUGAGACACGGUCCAGACUCCUACGGGAGGCAGCAGUAGGGAAUCUUCCGCAAUGGGCGAAAGCCUGACGGAGCAACGCCGCGUGAGUGAUGAAGGUCUUCGGAUCGUAAAGCUCUGUUAUUAGGGAAGAACAUAUGUGUAAGUAACUGUGCACAUCUUGACGGUACCUAAUCAGAAAGCCACGGCUAACUACGUG